rnacentral:rRNA from 1 species
CACGUAGGGCGCAAGCGUUGUCCGGAAUUAUUGGGCGUAAAGAGUGUGUAGGCGGUGCUCCAAGUCUGGUGUGAAAUCUCCCGGCUUAACUGGGAGGGUGCAUUAGAAACUGGAAUGCUAGAGGAUGGGAGAGGUAAGCGGAAUUCCUGGUGUAGCGGUGAAAUGCGUAGAUAUCAGGAGGAACACCUGUGGUGUAGACAGCUUACUGGACCAUUUCUGACGCUGAGACACGAAAGCGUGGGUAGCAAACAGG